UACGUAGGGGGCGAGCGUUGUCCGGAUUCAUUGGGCGUAAAGAGCUCGUAGGCGGUUUGGCAAGUCGGAUGUGAAAACUCCAGGCUCAACCUGGAGCCGCCAUUCGAUACUGCUAUGACUAGAGUCCGGUAGGGGAGUGUGGAAUUCCCGGUGUAGCGGUGAAAUGCGCAGAUAUCGGGAGGAACACCGAUGGCGAAGGCAGCACUCUGGGCCGGUACUGACGCUGAGGAGCGAAAGCGUGGGGAGCGAACAGG
rnacentral:rRNA from 1 species